rnacentral:rRNA from 1 species
UGCGUAGGUGGUUUGUUAAGUCAGAUGUGAAAGCCCCGGGCUCAACCUGGGAACUGCAUUUGAUACUGUCAGGCUAGAGUGUGGUAGAGGGAAGUGGAAUUCCGGGUGUAGCGGUAAAAUGCGUAGAUAUCCGGAGGAACACCGGUGGCGAAGGCGGCUUCCUGGACCGACACUGACACUGAGGCACGAAAGCGUGGGUAGCAAACA